CCUACGGGGUGCAGCAGUGGGGAAUAUUGGGCAAUGGAGGAAACUCUGACCCAGCAACGCCGCGUGAAUGAUGAAGGUCUUCGGAUUGUAAAGUUCUUUUCUAAGGGAAGAAGAAAGUGACGGUACCUUAGGAAUAAGCCUCGGCUAACUACGUGCCAGCAGCCGCGGUAAUACGUAGGAGGCAAGCGUUAUCCGGAAUGACUGGGCGUAAAGGGUGCGUAGGUGGUUUGAUAAGUUGGUAGCGUAACUCCGAGGCUCAACCAUGGCACUACUACCAAAACUGUCGGACUUGAGUGCAGGAGGGGCAACUGGAAUGCCUAGUGUAGCGGUGGAAUGCAUAGAUAUUAGGAGGAACACCAGUGGCGAAGGCGAAUUGCUGGACUGUAACUGACACUGAGGCACGAAAGCGUGGGGAGCAAACAGGAUUAGAUACCCCGGUAGUC
rnacentral:rRNA from 1 species